rnacentral:rRNA from 1 species
UUAGUUGCCAUCAUUCAGUUGGGCACUCUAGCGAGACUGCCGGUAAUAAACCGGAGGAAGGUGGGGAUGACGUCAAAUCAUCAUGCCCCUUAUGACCUGGGCUACACACGUGCUACAAUGGUUGGUACAACGAGUUGCGAGUCGGUGACGGCGAGCUAAUCUCUUAAAGCCAAUCUCAGUUCGGAUUGUAGGCUGCAACUCGCCUACAUGAAGUCGGAAUCGCUAGUAAUCGCGGAUCAGCACGCCGCGGUGAAUACGUUCCCGGGCCUU